rnacentral:rRNA from 1 species
CCUCUAGUGCAGAUCUUGGUGGUAGUACCAAAUAUUCAAAUGAGAACUUUGAAGACUGAAGUGGGGAAAGGUUCCACGUCAACAACAGUUGGACGUGGGUUAGUCGAUCCUAAGAGAUGGGGAAGCUCCGUUUCAAAAGCCUGAUUUUCCAGGCACCAUCGAAAGGGAAUCCGGUUAAUAUUCCGGAACCUGGAUAUGGAUUCUUCACGGUAACGUAACUGAGUGUGGAGACGUCGGCGUGAGCCCUGGGAGGAGUUAUCUUUUCUUCUUAACAGCUUAUCACCCUGGAAUUGGUUUAUCCGGAGAUAGGGUCUUAUGGCUGGAAGAGCCCAGCAUCUAUGCUGGGUCCGGUGCGCUUACGACGGCCCUUGAAAAUCCACAGGAAGGAAUAGUUUUCAUGCCAGGUCGUACUGAUAACCGCAGCAGGUCUCCAAGGUGAACAGCCUCU